AUCGAACCUGGGCCCCUCUACUUUCAAGGAAGUAGACAGGUGGUGCCAUCUCUCUGUCCCUUAUCAGCACCCUCAUUAAUGAGAGUGGCUCUGCCCUGUCCAGGGCUUCCUGGCCUCUACCUGAAGCAGAGAAGCCAAAAGUUUUCUGUCUUUGGACUCCACCUAAAUCACUUCCACAGCAGAGCUCCCUGGCUACAAGUUCUUCCUGAACUGACUUCUCUCACCCCAGCACCUACCUCACACAGCAUUAUUUGAGAAAGCCAUUUCCUCUUUCUUUUUAGUCAGAGACACCAGAACCUGGAGCCCCACUUCCAAUCCAAAGCAUUAUACCUUCACCCUAGGGGUAUGCACGUUCCCAUCCCUUCCAUUUCCAGCCUUCCAAAGUUCACCCCCAGGUAGCUGAACUUGAGCUCUCAACCUCACUCUCUGUCAAAUGCUUUCUAGGCACUUGGGCACCUGGGCACCUGCCCCCAGCAUGGCUGAACUUGGUCCUGGGUGUGUGAGGACACAGGGGAGGCUCCAUCAUUUCCCAGGCUGCUUGGGAUGGUGAGAGAGAGAUGGGACAUGUCUAAUCGCUUGCAGUGUUUCCAGAACUGUGAUGGAGGGUGUUAUGGGUACCGAGGCAGAAAGCCGGGCUGCUUCCUUUGAAGCACUGCCUGUACCGCAAUCCCAGGGGCAGGUAAGGUCCUGCUAGGGAAGAAGAGAGGAAAUGUGUUUCAGAAAAGAGAGAAAAAUGGGCAGGGCCUGAGGUCAGAAGCAAGUGGCUCUCUGUGAGGGAGAAGUGUGGGAGUUAAGUCUGGGGGUGGGAGGAUAGCAGAGGCCACAUCAUGAGGGGGCCUCAAAGACCUCCUGGGAGCUUGGAUCUUACUAAGGACCCUGAGAAGCCACAGGAGGCCUGGAGAGGAUGGUGGGAUUCAAGGUGAGAGAGGAGGGGGACCUGAGGAAGGCCAAACAGUGAGGACAGUGGGGAGGGCCUAGCUUCUGGGUCGUGCCCUGAGUCCCCUCCCCUCUGGUUUCCUUCAAGCAGGGGUUACACAUUGCCUGAAUUGACUUUGCCCUUAGAAAAGGAAGAUGAAAGCCAAGGCCUGACUCUGGAGUCAGCUCUUCCUCAACUCCUCUGGCUUGAAGCCAGGAGAGAUGCUACCCCAGCACCCCCUUCCUUAGGCUGCACCCCUUUUACCAGGUCUUCCUCUCCCUCAUUCCGUCUGUGUUUUCCCACCCAGGUCCAGGCUGGGGAGUGGGCUUCAGCCAGGCUCUGGAGUCUGCCAUAACAGACCCCCCCCCCCCGACUGCCUGAGCCCCAGGGUCACCGCGUGCUUCCUGGAGCUGUGACCUUCCCAGCAGCCCAGGACCCCGGUUCCCAUCUCUUCCUGCAGAACCCUCCCUACACUGUUGCCUUUGUGUCCUUUUUCCUGUGCCCGAGACAUUCCAACUUUAUUGCCCUGGUUCCCUGAAGGGUCAUUUGCCAAACUGGGGCUGGCGCCACAGAUUAGAAAAACAGUCCUGAGAGCCCCCAGACCCCCCUCCUCCUGAGGGGAGAAGCCAGUAGAGAAGACCCACCUUCCCUCCUGCUUGUUCCCCUCGGGCCCUCCAGGACACCGCAGGGCCCCCAGCCGCCACAGCACCUCUGAGCUCCUUCCCUGGGAAGAAGGACCAGGACUUCUGCAGGGAGCUUCUCUUUGGAGCCACUGGGGCAGCAAAUGCUGGAGGCUCCUGGGUCCCCACAUCAAGAGGAGGCUUCAAUUCAAGAGCUUGAAUUGGAGCCUGCAAUUUCCCCAGUGCCGGGGAGGCCAGGGCAGAAUACGGAUCAGGUCUGUUUAGUUCUGUCUGCUCCCCUCCAGCAGACCAGCACUUCCGGGGAAGACAGAACCAGAGACCCCUGACCAAUUCUCAGCCCCCGCCUGCCUACCCGAGUCGCCUCAUCUUACUUCCCGGGACUCCAGGUUCAGAGAGGUUGAAUCGUUUUCGAAAGUCACAGAACCGAUAAAGCCAGGACAGGGUCUGAGCCCUGGGUGUGUGGUUUCUUGCCGUGUCCAGGGCUGCUCAGUCCCAAAGCCCUUCCUGGAAGGAGACAGCAGGCACUGGGGAGAGCUGGCCUGGGAAGCAGUACUCUGGCCCUGGUCGACCGUCAGCUCCCAAUCUGGCUCUGUCUGUUCAGAACACCAGGAUUUCCAGGUUGGGGCCACUUCUCUGUUCCCACCAGAACCUGCACCACCAAUGCUACCACCAUCCAUAACAUGAGACUUGGGACCAUGAAGACCCCUGACUCAGGCCUUGGUGUAGCCCUGAGGUUGGGACUCUCUUCCUAACUCUACCCUAUGCCUGCAAUUCAGGAUCCUAGUUUGCCAAGGAGAGAUGCUGACCAUGUCCUGUAAGCAACCCAGGUUAUCACUUUGGUUCAACCACUUAUAAACUGUGACAUGUACGUCAGGUUAUAAAAGCUUACCAACAACCUCAGUAUUUUUGUCUAUAAAAUGGUCAGAAUGAUUGUUAGUAUUUAGUGAAAUCAUGAAGAAAAGUACGUAGAACACACAAGAGCUUCAAUCAAUAGCAGUAAUCAUUAUGAUCUUCACAGGCUCCAUCGUCCUGUUUCCAGCAGGGAGCUUCAGCCCCUGGGACCAGCCCCAGAUGAUCCUGUCUACCUGCCCAGAACUGUGUGGACAGACACAGGCAGCCAAGGAUCUAGGGCUGCAGUCCUACCCUGCCAGGUUCCAAUGGAGCAAAGAGGGCUGGGCAUCUUGCCUGUCAUCUAGUCCAGUUCAGGAAUCUGUAGUCUCUGGGGCCAGAGCCCACUGGUGGCCAUGAAAACAUAGGAGAUAUGGUAGGCAGAGUCCAAAGAAAUUGGGUCUAAAUCCAUGGAAUCUCUAAAUGUUACUGGGUUGAAUCGUGUCUCCCCCAAACAACAUGCUCAAGUCUUAACCCCUAGCACUUGGGGGUGUGACAUUAUCUGAAAUAAAAUCAUUGCAAG
rnacentral:lncRNA from 1 species